rnacentral:tRNA from 1 species
AGUUGCGUAGUGCAAAGGCAGCACAUCUGAAUCUGGCUCAGAAGAUGUUGGUUCGAAUCCAGCCGCAACGA